ACAGAUGUUCAUAACAUAAAGUGCAUAUUGUGUUUGUUUUUGAUGAGAAAUGUAAGCAAAAAUGUUUCCGAGAUAUAAUAAUUUCUGCCAGACUUUUGAAAAAAAAGAUUUUACAUUUGUUCCCAACUUCCCACAUCCAUGUUUCAGCAGUUGGCGUUGAAGAUGAUGUACUCAAAUGGUACAAAAGCUACUUAGAAAGCAGGAAGGCUGUACGACCGUGUUGGAUAUGUUUUGGGCAUGACUGCAGGUGCAGUGAGGGUCACCAUCAACCGUGCCUCCAGUUCCGUUCCUUCACCAUCGUCAGGAUCACAAGCGCCGCCUGUCUUUGAUAACUUUAUGAUUGGUGCCAUUCACCGCUGUAUCCACAGAAAGUUUGGCGAGAAGGGGCAUUUUACUGUUGGUUCCUUGACAAAUGACCUCAAAACAGCUGGCAUUAUUCCGGAAAUAACAUCAUGGGCUUCAGUACUUCGACUCUUGCAUUCUAUGGGAUUCAAGUAUAAAACUUCCCAACGUAAGAUGUCUGUAAGGAAGGAAUCUCUGGAAAUUGUAUGCUGCCGGAUAACUGCUCUCCGUGAUCUACGACGUCAGCGGGAGUAGGGGAGAGUGGUAGUUUACGUAGAUGAAACCUGGUUUACGACAAGGAUGGCCCACACCAGGGAAUGGCCAGACACUACGCAGGAUGUCACCAGCCCCACUUACAGUCGUCAGUUUGCUCCUGGAGAAGGUGAGCGUUUUGUGGUGGUGGCAGCUGGCACGAAUGAGGGCUUUAUAGAUGAUUUAUACCUGUGCUACCUGGCCAAGACCAAUCAGGGAGACUACCAUGCUGAGAUGAAUGCAAAGUUGUUCAGACAGUGGCUAACGCCGCAACUUCUGCCAUCCCUUCCCGAGCCAUACACUGAUCGAGGAGAGUCGAUGCCCCACAUCAGCAACCAAAAAGGCAGAUCUCGUCAGGUAUUAAUGUUCGGAGCUGCUGCUUAUUUGCCAAAAGAAUCGGCCGGAGCGAUGGUAUGAGAUUGACAACACCAUUCGUGAAUGGGGCCAUGAGGUUGUGCGUUUGCCCCUCGCUCACCCCGAGCUCAAUGCAAUUGGACAGGUGUGGGGGGGGUCAUGAAGAGACACGUACGUUCCUCCCUCCGUCGAUUUACUCGAUCCAACCUGCAGUGUGGGCAGGAGCAGUUCGACAAUCCCGUCAUUUCGAGGAGUAUUGGGAGUCGGACAAUAUCCGAGAGACAGUAGAACCAGUCAUCAUUAGCCUGGCCAGUGACGAUGAGGACGGGGAAGAUGAUCUUUUCUUCGAGAG